rnacentral:tRNA from 1 species
CAACAAUUAGUUUAUUUAAAAUUUAGGUUUUGGGGACUUAGGAUAUAUUAUAUAUUGUUGA